GAUGAACGCUGGCGGCGUGCUUAACACAUGCAAGUCGAACGGAAAGGCUCCUGCUUGCAGGGGUACUCGAGUGGCGAACGGGUGAGUAACACGUGGGUGAUCUGCCCUGCACUUCGGGAUAAGCCUGGGAAACUGGGUCUAAUACCGGAUAGGACGAUGGUUUGGAUGCCAUUGUGGAAAGUUUUUCGGUGUGGGAUGAGCUCGCGGCCUAUCAGCUUGUUGGUGGGGUAAUGGCCUACCAAGGCGUCGACGGGUAGCCGGCCUGAGAGGGUGUACGGCCACCUUGGGGCUGGUGUACGGCCCAGACUCCUACCUGAGGCGGCAGUGGAGAAUAUUGCACAAUGGGAGCAAGCCUGAUGCGACGACGCCGCGUGGGGGAUGACGGCCUUCGGGUUGUAAACUCCUUUCGCUAGUGACGAAGCGCGAGUGACGGUACCUGGAGAAGAAGCACCGGCUAACUACGUG
rnacentral:rRNA from 1 species